CCUACGGGUGGCUGCAGUGGGGAAUAUUGCGCAAUGGGCGAAAGCCUGACGCAGCGACGCCGCGUGAGGGAUGAAGGUCUUCGGAGCGUAAACCUCCGUCAGCAGGGAAGAACGGUCACUGACGUAAUCAGCAGUGAAUUGACGGUACCUGCAAAGGAAGCACCGGCUAACUCCGUGCCAGCAGCCGCGGUAAUACGUAGGGUGCGUGCGUUAAUCGGAAUUAAUGGGCGUAAAGCGCUCGUAGACGGUAUGUCAAGUCAGGGGUGAAAGCGCCGCGCUCAAAGGUGUAAUUGCCUUUGAAACUGGCAAACUGGAGGAUAUGUGAGGUUAGCGGAAUUCGUGGUGUAGCGGUGAAAUGCGUAGAUAUCUGGAAGAACAUCGAUGGCGAAGGCAGCUAACUAGCCCAUAACUGACGCUGAGGAGCGAAAGCGUGGGUAGCAAACAGGAUUAGAUACCCUAGUAGUC
rnacentral:rRNA from 1 species